rnacentral:rRNA from 1 species
CCUACGGGAGGCAGCAGUGAGGAAUAUUGGUCAAUGGGCGAGAGCCUGAACCAGCCAAGUCGCGUGAAGGAUGAAGGAUCUAUGGUUUGUAAACUUCUUUUAUAUGGGAAUAAAGUGAGGAACGUGUCCCGUUUUGUAUGUACCAUAUGAAUAAGCAUCGGCUAACUCCGUGCCAGCAGCCGCGGUAAUACGGAGGAUGCGAGCGUUAUCCGGAUUUAUUGGGUUUAAAGGGUUCGUAGGUGGUGAAUUAAGUCAGCGGUGAAAGUUUGUGGCUCAAACAUAGAAUUGCCGUUGAAACUGGUUGACUUGAGUAUAUGUGAGGUAGGCGGAAUGCGUGGUGUAGCGGUGAAAUGCAUAGAUAUCGCGCAGAACUCCGAUUGCGAAGGCAGCUUACUAAACUAUAACUGACACUGAGGCACGAAAGCGUGGGGAUCGAACAGGAUUAGAUACCCUUGUAGUC